GUUAUUAGCAGUGAGUGAAAGAACAGUUUUUAUUUCACUUUUAUAUUUGAGGGACUUUCAGCAAUAUUACAAGAAGGAAUGUACCCUAUUAAAGAGAAGUGAGGACAGCCUUUACUAUCACUUUACACUGGCAAUUCCCCCUUGUUCCUGCUCAGGGCAUGGCACCAGCACAUGAAGGGCACUGGUGAUACCUUGGAGAGCUGAAGAUGUUUCCAGGACCCAGUUCCAAAGGAAGGAUCCUGCUCUGCCAGGAUCUCCAGCAGGAGCAGCACCUGCCAAGCCUCUCCAGGUGGGAAAAGCAGGAGAAAUGCAAUGGAACCUGGGUGCCUCACCUGGGCCUGGACACACAGCCAGGUUAGAAACCUUGCAAUGAAAACAUAAAGGGAACUAAAAAAGAACAACCUCUUUCCAUCCCAUAAAUUAAUACCAACAGGUUUGGGGGUUUUUUGUUUGGUUUGGUUGGUUUUUUUUUGGUUUUUUUUUUUUUUUGCCUGUGCUCAUCUUGAGUGGGAUUUGUAAUAAUUCAAUGAUGUCUCAAUGUUUUUGUCAGAGUCACACAGGAGGGGGAUCCCACUAACAUCACUUUUUUAACCAUUUGGAAAAGGGAAAUCUGCUCUAAGUGGAUUCCUCUGAGUGGAAAAAGAUUGUCACUGGAGAAUG
rnacentral:lncRNA from 1 species